rnacentral:rRNA from 1 species
GCAGUCGAGCGAACAGAUAAGGAGCUUGCUCCUUUGACGUUAGCGGCGGACGGGUGAGUAACACGUGGGUAACCUACCUAUAAGACUGGGAUAACUUCGGGAAACCGGAGCUAAUACCGGAUAACAUUUGGAACCGCAUGGUUCUAAAGUGAAAGAUGGUUUUGCUAUCACUUAUAGAUGGACCCGCGCCGUAUUAGCUAGUUGGUAAGGUAACGGCUUACCAAGGCGACGAUACGUAGCCGACCUGAGAGGGUGAUCGGCCACACUGGAACUGAGACACGGUCCAGACUCCUACGGGAGGCAGCAGUAGGGAAUCUUCCGCAAUGGGCGAAAGCCUGACGGAGCAACGCCGCGUGAGUGAUGAAGGGUUUCGGCUCGUAAAACUCUGUUAUUAGGGAAGAACAAACGUGUAAGUAACUGUGCACGUCUUGACGGUACCUAAUCAGAAAGCCACGGCUAACUACGUGCCAGCAGCCGCGGUAAUACGUAGGUGGCAAGCGUUAUCCGGAAUUAUUGGGCGUAAAGCGCGCGUAGGCGGUUUCUUAAGUCUGAUGUGAAAGCCCACGGCUCAACCGUGGAGGGUCAUUGGAAACUGGGAAACUUGAGUGCAGAAGAGGAAAGUGGAAUUCCAUGUGUAGCGGUGAAAUGCGCAGAGAUAUGGAGGAACACCAGUGGCGAAGGCGACUUUCUGGUCUGUAACUGACGCUGAUGUGCGAAAGCGUGGGGAUCAAACAGGAUUAGAUACCCUGGUAGUCCACGCCGUAAACGAUGAGUGCUAAGUGUUAGGGGGUUUCCGCCCCUUAGUGCUGCAGCUAACGCAUUAAGCACUCCGCCUGGGGAGUACGACCGCAAGGUUGAAACUCAAAGGAAUUGACGGGGACCCGCACAAGCGGUGGAGCAUGUGGUUUAAUUCGAAGCAACGCGAAGAACCUUACCAAAUCUUGACAUCCUUUGAAAACUCUAGAGAUAGAGCCUUCCCCUUCGGGGGACAAAGUGACAGGUGGUGCAUGGUUGUCGUCAGCUCGUGUCGUGAGAUGUUGGGUUAAGUCCCGCAACGAGCGCAACCCUUAAGCUUAGUUGCCAUCAUUAAGUUGGGCACUCUAGGUUGACUGCCGGUGACAAACCGGAGGAAGGUGGGGAUGACGUCAAAUCAUCAUGCCCCUUAUGAUUUGGGCUACACACGUGCUACAAUGGACAAUACAAAGGGCAGCUAAACCGCGAGGUCAUGCAAAUCCCAUAAAGUUGUUCUCAGUUCGGAUUGUAGUCUGCAACUCGACUACAUGAAGCUGGAAUCGCUAGUAAUCGUAGAUCAGCAUGCUACGGUGAAUACGUUCCCGGGUCUUGUACACACCGCCCGUCACACCACGAGAGUUUGUAACACCCGAAGCCGGUGGAGUAACCAUUU